GUUAGUCUUUGACUACUGACCAUAGGACCCGUAUUGUGAAGCUGCCGAUUUAAUUUGUCCCGGUUAUCGAGACCCUUAAAUAAUAAAUUAGAAGGUUAGAAAAACCCUACGCCAUUCUGGAUCACGGAAGAAGAGAAGAGGUUGUAGUAGAUCUUGGCUGAGAUCUCUGAGAUGGAGGACGCAUUCGCUAGAUCUGUUCCUGAGGUGUUGGAUUUUUUCCGAGUGGAUCCCAGUAAAGGUCUCACCGAUAUCCAGGUCACAACCCAUGCUCGCGUUUAUGGCACAAACGUGCUGCCUCAUCAAGAAAGCACCCCUUUUUGGAAAUUGGUUCUUAGUCAAUUUGAUGACUUGCUUGUUAAGAUAUUGAUAGCCGCCGCUGUUGUUUCUUUUCUUUUGGCUUUGGUUAAUGGAGAAACUGGCUUAACAGCUUUUCUCGAGCCUUCUGUUAUAUUAAUGAUAUUGGCCGCAAAUGCUGCCGUAGGAGUAAUUACAGAAACAAAUGCUGAAAAGGCUUUGGAGGAGUUGCGUGCCUAUCAAGCAGAUGUUGCAACAGUCAUGCGUAAUGGUUGCUUCUCCAUCCUUCCUGCGACAGAGCUAGUUCCGGGGGAUAUUGUAGAAGUUAGUGUGGGUUGCAAAAUUCCAGCAGACCUGAGAAUGAUUGAGAUGUUAAGUGAUCAACUGCGUGUUGAUCAAGCCAUUCUUACAGGUGAGAGUUCUUCUGUGGAAAAAGAGCUCGAGUCCAGGAUAACAACUAAUGCGGUGUACCAAGACAAAACUAAUAUCCUCUUUUCGGGAACAGUAGUGGUUGCUGGUAGAGCAAGAGCCGUUGUGGUUGGAGUUGGUUCUAACACUGCAAUGGGUAGCAUACGUGAUUCUAUGUUGAAAACCGAGGACGAAGCAACACCGCUCAAAAGGAAGCUUGAUGAAUUUGGUACUUUCUUGGCCAAGGUCAUAGCUGGUAUUUGUAUACUGGUAUGGAUCGUUAAUAUUGGCCAUUUUCGUGAUCCUGUACAUGGAGGCUUUUUUCAAGGUGCUGUUCACUACUUCAAGAUUGCAGUUGCCCUUGCUGUUGCUGCAAUUCCAGAAGGUCUUCCAGCUGUUGUUACAACGUGUUUGGCUCUUGGAACAAAAAGAAUGGCCCGUUUGAAUGCUAUUGUGAGAUCCUUGCCUUCUGUAGAGACGUUGGGCUGUACAACAGUAAUUUGCAGUGACAAAACUGGUACUCUGACCACUAACAUGAUGUCAGUUUCUAAGAUCUGUGUGCUUCAAUCUGCUAGCCAUGGAGUUAUAGCUGCAGAGUAUAAUGUUAGUGGUACGACCUAUGCACCAGAAGGUUCUAUUUUUGAUGGCAUGGGAUUGCAGCUUGAUUUUCCUGCUCAAUUUCCUUGUCUUCUUCACAUAGCAAUGUGUUCAGCUCUGUGCAAUGAGUCAGUUAUACAAUACAAUCCUGACAAGAAAAAAUAUGAAAAAAUUGGGGAGUCAACAGAAGUUGCUCUUCGUAUACUAGCAGAAAAGAUUGGUCUUCCUGGUUUUGACUCUAUGCCUUCUGCUCUCAAUAUGUUGACCAAGCAUGAACGGGCGGCUUACUGUAAUCAUUAUUGGGAGAACCAAUUUAGGAAGAUAUCUCUUUUGGAAUUUUCUCGUGAUCGCAAGAUGAUGAGUGUUCUUUGUAGUCGAAAACAGAUUGAGAUUAUGUUUUCCAAAGGUGCCCCAGAGAGCAUACUUUCUAAGUGCACAAGUAUUCUUUGCAACGAUGAUGGUUCCACUGUUCCGCUGACUGGAAAUAUCAGGAAUGAGAUUGAAUCCAGAUUUUCCAGCUUUGCAGGAAAAGAUACCUUAAGAUGUCUUGCACUUGCCUUAAAAAGGAUGCCAACAGGUCAUCAGAAUAUUUCUUUAGAUGAUGAAAAAGAUCUUACCUUUAUUGGGUUGGUUGGAAUGCAAGAUCCACCAAGGGAGGAAGUAAGAAAUGCUAUACUUGCAUGCAUGACAGCUGGCAUACGUGUUAUGGUGGUGACUGGGGAUAACAAGGCUACUGCAGAAUCAGUGUGCCGAAAAAUAGGUGCUUUUGAUCACUUGGAAGAUUUUAGGGCGCGCUCAUUCACCGCAUCAGAGUUUGAAGACCUUCCAGCCUCUGAAAAGACAAGCGCACUGCAACAGAUGACACUUUUUACUAGGGUUGAACCAUCCCACAAAAAGAUGUUGGUGGAAGCACUACAACACCAAAAUGAAGUCGUUGCCAUGACUGGAGAUGGGGUGAAUGAUGCACCUGCAUUAAAGAAGGCAGAUAUAGGAAUCGCCAUGGGAUCAGGAACAGCAGUUGCCAAGAGUGCUUCAGACAUGGUUCUGGCUGAUGAUAAUUUUGCUACUAUUGUUGCAGCUGUUGCAGAGGGCAGAGCUAUAUACAAUAACACAAAACAGUUCAUAAGAUAUAUGAUUUCUUCAAACAUAGGAGAAGUUGUUUGUAUCUUUGUUGCUGCUGUACUUGGAAUACCUGACACCCUUGUCCCUGUGCAACUUCUAUGGGUGAAUUUGGUUACUGAUGGAUUACCUGCUACAGCUAUUGGUUUCAAUAAGCAAGAUUCUGAUGUUAUGAAGGCUAAACCAAGAAAGGUUAAUGAAGCUGUCGUCACCGGCUGGCUAUUCUUUCGUUAUUUAGUCAUUGGAGCUUAUGUUGGACUUGCAACUGUCGCUGGUUUCAUAUGGUGGUUUAUUUAUUCAAACACUGGUCCAAAGAUUCCAUAUAGCGAACUUAUGAAUUUUGACAGUUGUUUGAAACGUGAAACUGCAUAUCCUUGCAGUAUCUUCAGCGACCGACACCCCUCAACUGUGGCAAUGACAGUUCUUGUUGUUGUUGAGAUGUUCAAUGCUUUGAAUAAUCUGAGUGAAAACCAGUCCCUCAUUUAAUAAGUGAAAAACUUCAGUGUUAUACCUCCUUGGAGUAACUUAUGGCUUGUUGGGUCUAUCGGGUUGACCAUGUUACUUCACUGCCUCAUUUUGUAUGUGCCACCGCUUUCCGCUCUCUUUUCUGUGGUGCCAUUAACAUGGGAUGAAUGGACUACUGUUUUGUAUUUAUCUUUUCCUGUAAUUAUUAUCGACGAGAUAUUGAAACUUUUUUCGCGAAAAACUACUGGGUUGAGAUUCAAUUUGAGACCGAGGAGGAAAAGGGAAGUACGUGAUAAAUGAGGAGUCGCAUCGCAUCCCAGUGUUGUAUACAGAAGGUGUAGCAAAAUAUGGUAGAAAUAUAGAUAUAUGCUUUGAUUAAUUUAAAUUUUGACAAGACAUGUUACCGGCCUUUUAUUUAUUUAUUUAUGCAUUUGAUAAUGAACUAUAAUGAUGUUUUCCGGGAUUUGUUCUUAGCAACAAUAUUAUGCAACGAAGUGAACGGUAAUUAUAUUU